rnacentral:rRNA from 1 species
GACGAACGCUGGCGGCGUGCUUAACACAUGCAAGUCGAACGGAAAGGCCCUGCUUUUGUGGGGUGCUCGAGUGGCGAACGGGUGAGUAACACGUGAGUAACCUGCCCUUGACUUUGGGAUAACUUCAGGAAACUGGGGCUAAUACCGGAUAGGAGCUCCUGCUGCAUGGUGGGGGUUGGAAAGUUUCGGCGGUUGGGGAUGGACUCGCGGCUUAUCAGCUUGUUGGUGGGGUAGUGGCUUACCAAGGCUUUGACGGGUAGCCGGCCUGAGAGGGUGAACGGCGACAUUGGGACUGAGAUACGGCGCAGACGCGUACGGGAGGCAGCAGGGGGGAACAUUGCACAGUGGGCGGAAGUCUGAUGCGGCAACGCCGCGUGCGGGAUGACGGCCUUCGGGUUGUAAACCGCUUUCGCCUGUGACGAAGCGUGAGUGACGGUAAUGGGUAAAGAAGCACCGGCUAACUACGUG